rnacentral:rRNA from 1 species
GACGGAGGGCGCGAGCGUUGUUCGGAAUUACUGGGCGUAAAGCGCGCGCAGGCGGGUGCGCAAGUCGGAAGUGAAAGCGCAGGGCUCAACCCUGCGACGCCUUCCGAGACUGCGUGUCUGGGACCGGUAGAGGUGAGUGGAAUUCCCGGUGUAGCGGUGGAAUGCGUAGAUAUCGGGAAGAACACCGGAGGCGAAGGCGGCUCACUGG